ACUCUGGGCAAAUCCCCUCUUCCCUCUGGCAUCAGGACUUCUGGGGCUUGAAGACCCUGGGUCUGCGGGAAGCCCCUGCUGAGCGUCCCUCGCCUACCCCGUGGCCAGUGGGUGAGUAGGGCUAGAUCUCCGCCCAUCUAGGUCCCCUUCUGCUCCAGCUCCAGCGUCUGACAUCCCAAGGAAGGAACGCAGGGUGGGGGCAUUUGAGCCGGACCUGAGCCAUCCUCAUGGUUUUCAAAAAGUAGCCUUAUUGUGGUGUAAUUGACAGACGAAACCACCUUAUCUAUGUGACAAAGCUCGGGCCAUCAGUGGCAAGGUAGAUUGGCAUCACGUACCUUUGAUACAACAACCUGAGAAGGACGUCACUUCUGCGAUAUUCCUGCCAAAAAUGCAUCUCCGCAUUCCGAUCGUGAGAACAUCCUGGGCACACCCAAACUGAGAGACACCAUACAAAGUGACUGGUCAGUGCACUCAAAGGCAAAAAGCUCAUGGAAGGCAACAGAAGACAGGAGAAGUGACAGCUAAAAGCAGCGUGGAAUCCUGGAAGGGACAAAGAACACGAGCAGAGAAACUGUAGAAGCUGAGUGAGGGCAGCGGUCCAGCUUGCGCUGUUUUGCUGGGGUGAUUCUGGCUUUGAUGACCUUGUUUUGAGCCUCAGGUUUUCCUUAGGAUUCCGUGUGUGUUCCCCGCCUGGCCCCUCCGCAGCGACUCUGCUGUCAGUGGCUGCCCCAGGGUGGAGAGUGACCUACCUCCGGCUUCUCCUGUCCCGGCUUCUCCUGUGCCAGCCGGUCAGGCACACUGACAAACUUAGCCUUCCGUUCUGUUGGUCUGUGAUGACCGUUUCCACGUCCUGCUUUCUGAGAGCAUUUGCCUGGUGUAGACGUCCCCGUUUUCAGCGGUUAUGCGUCCCUCUAGUUUCGGUGAUGCCCUGAGGUUUACUUCCUGCAUUUUUAAGCCCACGUUUCCCCAGCACUCAUGUGUGGCCAGCGUCUGAUUCUUCCUCCAGAGCAAGACAGGGAAGCCACUGCACUUCAGCUGCCUUCACAAGUCUCCUCUGCCACCCCCGCUGAGGCCGUCUGGAAGUUUAAUUCUAGGCUAUUAUUAAAUUUCUAUAAAAUUGUUUCAACUUUACUGAGAUAUAAUUCACAAAUAGGAAUUGUGUAUAGUUAAGGUGUAUGACUUGAUGUUCUGAUACACGCUGUGAAUGAUCACUGCAGUCAAGCUAUUUCACAUGCUCACACCUCACAGUGACUACCAAGUUGGUGAAAAGAGUAACUGCGGUGUUUGCAAUUAGAAGCAAUUAUUUUUGCACCAACCUAAAAUAUUUUCUUUUUUUUUUUUUUUUUGUCGCCCAGCCUGGACUGCCGUGGUGAAAUCUUGGCUCACUGCAGCCUCUGCUUCCCAGGUUCAAUCAAUCUUGCCACCUCAGCCUCCCCAGUAGCUGGGACUAUGGGCACGUGCCACCAUGUCCAGCUAGUUUUUUUUGUUUUUUUUUUUUUUUGUAUUUUUAGUAGAGAUGGGGUUUCGCCAUGUUGCCCAGACUGGUCUUGAACUCCUGGCCUCAAGUGAUCCACCCACCGUCGGCCUCCCAAAGUGCUGGGAUUACAGGCAUGAGCCACCGCACCAGCUUCUUUUAUUUUCUUUGUGUGUGUUGAGAACACUUAAGAUCUAUCCUCUCAGCCCAUGUCCAGCAUCCAGUACAGCAUUGUUAACCAUGGCCACCUAGGACAGCGCUCCCCAGAAACUGAAUUUGCCAGCACCUUGAUCGUGGACUUCCAGCCUCCAGAACAGCGAGAAGAAUCGCUUCUAGGUUUUGACCAGCCGGCCUGUGGCAUUUUGCUACAACAGCCUGGGCAGCCUGCAGUGCUCUGUGCUUUGUUCUCUUUCAUUUUGUUUUGUUUUCUGUAAUUCACCUUUGAGAAACUCGUUCAGGAAGGAUGCAUGGGUGACAUUUUCUGCAUCCUCACAUUUUGUCACUGGGUGUGGCCGGGUCUGUGAGUCUAGACACAAAGCCAGUCACCUGGGGACGCUGCCACCUGAAGGCCUGCGUGGCCGGGUCUGUGACUGUAGACACAAAGCCAGUCACCUGGGGACGCUGCCACCUGAAGGCCUGCGUGGCCGGGUCUGUGACUCUAGACAAAAAGCCAGUCACCUGGGAACUCUGGGACACCCUCUUCUCUCACCCAUUGCUGUGGGGAAGCCUGGGGAUGGGUUUUCUUGUUUUGGUUUUUUAUCAUGUUGGUGUUUUGUUUUGUUUUUUUUUUGAGAUGGAGUUUCCCUCUUGUCUCCCAGGCUAGAGUGCAAUGGCGUGAUCUCGGCUCACUGCAACCUCCGCCUCCUGGGUUCAAGCGAUUCUCCUGCCUCAGCCUCCUGAGUAGCUGGGAUUACAGGCAUGCACCACCACGCCUGGCUAAUUUUUGUAUUUUUAGUAGAGACGGGGUUUCACCAUGUUGGUCAGGCUGGUCCCGAACUCCUGACUUCAGGUGAUCCACGCACCUCGGCCUCCCAAAGUGCUGAGAUUACAAGCAUGAGCCAUCGCACCCAGCCCAUAGUGGUUUUUAAAUCUUUCCUUUUGCCCUCAUUGUUCUAAAAUUUUAUGAAGAUGAAGACAUAUCUCGUGUCUCAUUCACGGAGAGCCGAUUCUGUAACAGCCGCUGCUCUGGGCGCCGGGAGAAACCGUGAGGAGCAGGCAGAGCUUCCGUCGCGGGGCCCACAGGGCCCAGGUGUGCAUUAUUUCCCUCCCAUCAAUCCUGUUCUUCUUCUGAAACUCUCAGUGUGCAGAUGUUGGAAUGUCUGGCUUCGUCCUCCAUUUCCUUUUUUUUUUUUUUCAUACUUUCCCUCUAUCUCGCUCUGCUGUGUACAAAAAAACUUGGGCAUUUUCAAGUACAAAGCAAAGGAAGCAAUAAAGCAUCCCCAGAUAUUUGAGGAAAGCUGACAUCACAAAGUGGAGAAUUCCUUGACUGUGUGUUCCAGGCACAAGUUCGUUCUUCAGCCUUUUCUUCCUGUUAUUCACCCCAUCACUUUUUAAUUUUUUUUGGAUGUCACAUUUUUCAUAUUUAUAUUUUCAGUUCCGUUUUUAAGGCUGUAUCUUCUCUAUGGAUAAAUAAACCUGUGAAGACGUACUGCCCUUUUCUCGAGGGUGUUGUUUGCUCUGCUUCCUUGAUACCUGCUGACUUUGGGGGCCCCUUUUUGGUAGUGAUUGGUUUUCCUCAAACAUUUGAUGGUUCUGGGUUGUCUAGUGAUUCCAUGAAAAUUGGUUGGCUGCAUAUUUAACCAAUUUUAGGUUAAAAUUGGUUGGCACCCAAAAUAACAGUGGCUUUAACACACAGUAUUCCCUUCUCACAUAAGAAAGGACUCUGGAGGGCGGGGCCCUAAAGAGCCUGUCACCUCCCACUCCACCACACCCGGCGGGUGCCUCAUCCUCAUGGCCCCAGAAGGCUGCUGGAGCUCUGGCCAUCGUGUCUGCAUUCAGCCAGCUUCCGCUCACCCUCCCGCCAGCCCCCACCCAGAUCUUGCUCACUGUGAGCUCUUCCCUCAGAGGGCAGUGACCUCUAAGAGACCACGGUUCACAGAACCCUCGCUUCCUUCAAUGCUGAGGUCCUGGAUGAGGGCACUGCCUGCUCCACACUGCCCCCAGCGGGCUGGCCCACGUCUGUGCUGUGGAACGUGCCCCUGCCUGUCUCCCAUUUGCUGUUUGUUCUGCCCUUGGAGUCUUCACUCUCAGCCGCCUCACUGGAGAAGCCAGCUGACUCCUCCGCUGGAAUGCCUGCUCUUCCCCGGCCUCCGACCCGGUCCGGCUCCUGCGGUCCUGAGUGGACUUCAUCCAGGAUUGUGAGGCCCUCGGGCAGGGAUGGGUUUUAUUCAUCACUGCACCCCUCAAAUCCCCAUCCCCAGGGCACAGACAGGCUCAGCAACCAGGUAGGAAGGGAUGAGUGAAUGAUCAGAAGGCCUCAUGCCUGACUCGCAAAAAGUCCGUGGUCCACCAGGCAUGUCCUGGUUUCCCAUUUGGUUCGAAGAGCCGCUGACCUCUGUGGCUGCUGCACGGCACAGCCGAGGAGAGCUGGGUCCAGGCCUGGCUUUGCCAGCAGCUGCUGAGAGGACUGAGCAAGCCCUCUGCCCUCUCCGCACCCCAGGUCCCUCUACAAAAGGAGGCAAAACUUCCUCCCACAGAGCCGCUGUUGGUGUGUGGCUGGGCCCAAGCAGGCACCCACAGACAGCUCAGCCACGGGGCCCCCUGGGGGCACUGCUGGAGUAGGCAGCAGCCCCGGGUUGGAGGAGCAGCGCUUCUAGGAGUGGGCAGAGCAGGGGGCACGGUGGUGAUGGGGGACAGCCGUGUGAGUGUCUACGGCCACUGCACUGUGCAGCUGAAAUGGUUCCAAUGGCGAAGUUCGUGUCAUGGGUGUUUCAAGUGAGCAGAGCAGACGCCCAUCCCCUUGGUGGCGUCCCUCUCUGGUCUGACCCCCAGGCACAGCCCCCACCCCUUCCCUGGGUGCCACCUUCAGCAUGGGUGUUUCUAGAUCCUGCAGACACAGAGCCGAGACCAGCCCCAGACAGUGGGAGCUCAGCCCGAUGGUGCAGCUAGAAACAGGAGCACUGAGCACAACAUGGUCCCUGGCAGAGGUCUGGACCCACGGCCAGUAACCGAGGAGUCACAGGCCUUCCCUGUGGCACCUGGAGGCUGGAUUGCACGUGGAGGCUGCAUUGCACAUGGAGGCUGGAUUGCACGUGGAGGCUGCAUUGCACGUGGAGGCUGCAUUGCACCUGGAGGCUGGAUUGCACGUGGAGGCUGCAUUGCACCUGGAGGCUGGAUUGCACAUGGAGGCUGCAUUGCACGUGGAGGCUGCAUUGCACGUGGAGGCUGCAUUGCACGUGGAGGCUGCAUUGCACGUGGAGGCUGCAUUGCAGCAGGAGAGGGAGCUGGAGAGGGGUGGGGUGGGCCACAUC
rnacentral:lncRNA from 1 species